UGAGCUGGGGUAUGUAAAGCAAUGGAGGCUGUGUUCCUGUAAGGGGUGGGGUCUGGUUUUGAAAUCCCUUGUAGUGGAAACCGAAGAGGAAGCCGAGGAAGCGGGAGACUUGGGUGCAUGCAGAAGUGGUGGUAGACCUACAGAAAGCCCUGCUGGAUCAGGCCAAAAGCCCAUCCAGUCCAGCAUCGUGUUUCAUGCAGCAACCAACCAGAGGUUUCUUCAUCAAGAGAGAACUACUGUGGAACUGGCAGGGAUGAAAAUGGAGGAGCAAGACUCAGAGGGCCAUACUCAAGGGGAAGGAUCCCAGGGUGUCAGAAAAGAUCCCCCAGUCCUAAAGGCUGUGAGUGUUGGGAAAGUCCUGCAAAGAAUCCCCGAAGUCCAGGUGAAACAGGAACCAUGUGAAGGGCUCCUUCAGCACUGGGAAGCCCAGUGGCAGGAGUUCCUGAAGACCGUGGAGUCCCCUCACUCAGGCUGGGGAAUCCCACAGCUGCCAGAGGAGCUUGCCCCAUGGGAUGAUGCUAAGGCCUUUCUGGCUUCCUUCGAGCAAGUGGCCGAAGCUUGCAGGUGGCCCAGAGAAGCGUGGGUGGCCCGGCUCUUGCCAGCCCUCAGCGGAGAAGCCAAGCAGGCCUUUAUCCGCCUGGAGGCCAAAGACCAAGAGGAUUAUGGGAAGGUGAAGGCAGCCAUCUUAAGAGGGGACGCCAUCAGCAGGGAGAAGCAACGCCAGCAUUUCAGGUGUUUCUGCUACAAGGAGGCCGAAGGCCCUAGAGGGGCCUACAGCCAACUCCAGGAGCUUUGCUUUCGCUGGCUGAAGGUUGAGAGACACUCCAAGGAGCAGAUCCUGGAGCUGCUGAUCCUGGAGCAGUUCCUGACCAUCCUGCCCACCGAGAUCCAGCGAUGGGUCAGGCAGUGGGGUCCAGAGACGUGUUCCCAGGCGGUGGCCCUGGCAGAAGAUUUCCUGCAGGUGCAACAAGAGAGCAGCCGAUGGGAACAACAGGCUCUGACAAAGCUGGAAGAGGCCCCUGUGAGUUCCUUGAAGGCGGCACCACCCCCAUCUGGCCCUAUAGAGAGGCACGUGCAGAGGGAGGCCGAGCAGGACGAGGAUGGGAGUUCCAGGCUGCUGAGUUAUAUGUCAGCGAGUGAGUGUGGAGAGAAAAUUCUGGAAAGUUCUGAGCUGGUGGAGCUGGACGGGGCAUCCCGAAGGAGAGUAACAGAGAAUAUAUCCCAGCAUCCAGAACUGGGAAGAGCUUUUGAGAAUCGGCACAGCUCAAAGAGGCAACAGAGAAGCCCUCCGAGGAGCCGAAUUAGUCAAUCUGUUCUUGACGUAGCAAACAAGACUCUCAGUGAAAGCUUGUUAGGGCACAAUGAAGAACCAUGCGCAGUAACUGAGGAAGGCUUCAAAGAGGAUUCAGGCCUUCCUCGAUAUGGAAGAGACCAUAAUCAGGAAGCAUUCUUUCAAUGUAUGGAGUGUGGGAAAAGCCUUAGUCACAAGGACCAGUUUGUGAGACAUCAGCGGAUACACGCUUUGGAAAAACCACGAAAAUGCUCUUAUUGUGGGAAAAGCUUCUGCCAGAGGUCCAAUUUGAUUUUUCAUGAGAGAAGCCACACUGAGGAGAAACCCUUCCAGUGCUCUGCCUGUGGGAAGUGCUUCAGCCGUAAUUCUCUCCUCAUUAAGCACGAAAGGACUCAUGGGGGAGAGAAGCCAUAUACUUGUUCUAUGUGUGGGAAGGGCUUUGUGUAUAGCUGGAACCUCAUUAAACAUAAGAAAAAGCACACAGGGGAAAAACCGCACCAGUGCUCUGCCUGUGGGAAAACCUUCUUUGAGCGUUCGGACCUUAUCAGACAUGAGAGAACCCACACAGGAGAGAAACCUUAUAAAUGCACUGUCUGCGAGAGAAGCUUCAGUCAGAAGUGGCUCCUGAUUAAACAUGAAAGAACUCACACAGUGUAGAGAUUUUACAAGGGUUUGUAUUGUGAGGGGAGAUUGGGCCUAGGCCUUACGCAUCUUGAAGAAAAAAUACAGGCAGGAGAGAAACCAUUAAAAUGCUUGGCAUUUGGAGGGAGCUAUAUUAAGUCACUGCAAGUGCUCUGAUCAUCAACAAGAAGCAAAAGCAUAGACCUAAGGCCAGUUCAUACAUUAGUCUAAUCCGGGGCUGCACAAGUUUGACCCUCCUGAAUACGUUGAAUUACAACUCCCAUAAUCCCUGACUAUUGGCCACCAUGGCUGGGAAUGAUGCAAGUUGUAGUCCAACAACAAGUGGAGGCCUAAGUGAUCCUUCUGAUCCAAACUGGGGAUUUUCAACCCUCUUUAAGAAGUGUACCGCUUCUGUCUCAAAGCUUCAGCUUGUGUAGCCCGCCACGCUCACCCGCACCACACCCACCCACUCUUUAACAUCACAGUUAAGAGGCAAGCUACUACAAUUGGUGGCUGACUUACUGGGCUGACAUACCCUUGUGUGGUAAUGUUGUGGGUAUACAAGUUGUGCAAAUGAUCCAGAAGAGUAAGCCCAUUAUUUUUAAUGGGCUUACUCCUGUGCAACAUUUUAUUUUAUAUUUUACAUUUUAUAUCCCGCUCUUCCUCCAAGGAGCCCAGAGUGGUGUACUACAUACUUGAGUUUCUCCUCACAACAACCCCGUGAAGUAGGUUAGGCCGAGAGAGAAGUGACUGGCCCAGAGUCACCCAGCAAGUCUCAUGGCUGAAUGGGGAUUUGAACUUGGGUCUUCUCGGUCCUAGUCCAGCAUUCUAACUACUACACCACGCUGGCUCAUUUGUGCAGCUUGUGUGACCCAGUGUUACUAGGCUGAAGUCCCCUUGUGGGGUGUGUCAGCCACUAGCUCUAGACAGAGUAAGUUGCUCAUGUACGCCCCAUUCAGGAAAGAGGCAGGUACUGGGGGGCCCAGGGCAUGUGCUACAUGUGCCCAUCUCAACCUGCCCCUGCACUCCAAGUAGGCCCCCCCCAAGUAUCCCCAGGGGUUCAUAUACUUCAGCCCCAGGUAUAGGUGCCAAGGUCACAGAGAAAUGUUCAACUGAGAAUUGUAGUCCACCAAUUUCUGAGGAUCCAAGUUUGAGAAGCCCUGAUUUAAGUAUCAAAUGUUACAAGGGCACAGUUGAGGAAGGGGUAAGGGGAAGACCUCCUGAAUCCAUCAGUCCUUGGUGCCUUUGCAGACUUCGUAUUAUAGGCCAAAUCGCCAUCUAUGCAUAUUUAAUAUUUAAUUCUCUUGGGUGUGCCUUGGAAUGUGCGUCCCAGCGCCCAGCUGAUUGGCUGAGUGGUGGACAGGCCUGAUUGGCUGAGGCGCACCCAGGAGGAUUGGUCGCUGCGGCAGCGGCAGACUGGCAAGGGCAAGCACCCAGGCCAAGGCUGACAGCAGACGGAAGAGACAAUGUGGCAGAAAUGGAAGCAGGCAGUUCCUUGCCAGAAUGAAGGAGGUCACACCAUGGAUGCAGAGACAAGG